AACCGCCAGAACCGGGGAACCGAACCGGAACCGCUAGAUCCAAACCGUAUUUUUGUAUAUAGGGUCCGGUUCCGGUUCAUAAGUUUGGGUAAAAAUGGUUCCCGGUUCGGUUCCGGUUAAAGAAGCGCUCGAACUAGUUGGGAUUAAAAAAUAUUUAAAAUCCUAUUUUAUUAAUGGGUUUUUCAACAUUAUACGACCGUCCUAAUUCUUAUUCACUCCUCUUAUAUUCAUUCCACAAUCUCAUCUUUCAACUUCUAAUUCUUCUCCAUCUCUCAACCCUAACCCUAAUUGCUAUUAUACAAGUUCAUCUCCAUCAACACCCUGCAAAUACAGAUGUUUAUGAGAAGAUUGAGAGGAUGAAGAUCGAAUGAAGUUUGAAGAUGUUUGUUUUAAUUGUUAACACGAUGGUUGUAAUAGUUUUAUUUAGAGUUUGUUUUAUGGCUUGAAA